rnacentral:rRNA from 1 species
CAGUAGCCACGGGAAAACGUAGGGUGCAAGCGUUAAUCGGAAUUACUGGGCGUAAAGCGUGCGUAGGCGGUUUGUUAAGUCUGCUGUGAAAUCCCCGGGCUCAACCUGGGAAUGGCAGUGGAUACUGGCAAGCUAGGGUGUGUCAGAGGAUGGUGGAAUUCCCGGUGUAGCGGUGAAAUGCGUAGAGAUCGGGAGGAACAUCAGUGGCGAAGGCGGCCAUCUGGGACAACACUGACGCUGAGGCACGAAAGCGUGGGGAGCAAACAGGAUUAGAUACCCCGGUAGUCCCUGUCUCUUAUAC